GCGGUUGUAGCUCAGAUGGUUAGAGUACCGGCCUGUCACGCCGGGGGUCGCGGGUUCGAGCCCCGUCAACCGCGCCA
rnacentral:tRNA from 54 species